rnacentral:rRNA from 1 species
UAAGACAGAGGCCCCGAGCGUUAGGCGGAAUCACUGGGCUUAAAGCGCGUGUAGGCGGAGGGCUAAGUACCUUGUGAAAUCCCCGGGCUCAACCCGGGAACUGCUGGGUAUACUGGCCUUCUUGAGGCAUCUAGGGGCGAGCGGAACAAACGGUGGAGCGGUGAAAUGCGUAGAUAUCGUUUGGAACGCCAACGGAGAAAUCAGCUCGCUGGGGAUGUCCUGACGCUGAGACGCGAAAGCCAGGGGAGCGAACGGGAUUAGAUACCCCGGUAGUCCUGGCCGUAAACGAUGUCCACUAGAUCGUGGCGCCUCUGACGGCGUCAUGGUCGAAGCAAAAGUGCUAAGUGGACCGCCUGGGAAGUACGGUCGCAAGGCUA